CACGGUUUAUUCCAAAUUGGUUGAAUAUAAAUUUUGCGUGUACGCAGCAGAAAAGUAAGGGCAUGUAAAAGUAAAUCGUUUUACUACUAAAACGUUGAGACCCUUAUGAAAUACUGAAAAUAUGGUGUUUAUUGAACCAGACUAAUAAAAUUUGUCAAAAAUAAAUUUUGCGUGUACAAGUAAACGAUUUAAUGAGUAAAUGCUUUUCCUUAUUGAUAAUUCACAUUUCUCUGUCUAGGUCAAUACUAAUGAUAGAAAAAUACUUAGGUAAAUAAUGAAAAAUGUUUUAGAUUUAUAUUAUUUUAGUUUUUCCGGUCUCUGAGUUUAACUACUUCGGUACAGAAGCCUAUUAAAUACCUCGCUCGCUAUAUAUUUAUGUGUACUCGCUAUAUUACAGCUUAUUUCUUGCCUUAGAUACAUAAAAUACCAUUUUAUUUAUGUUUAGACUUAAAUUCAAAAAUAGUACGUGCUUUCGAAUUAUUUGCAUUGUUUCUUUUUAUACUAGUUAUUUAUUUUGAAAAAAAUUGUGGUUCUGAAAAGAACCGAUUUGUGUUUGAUUAAGUAUGUUCCUACUUUAAGAUAGAAAAAACCAUACUCUUUUGUUAUGCUCGGCGUUUUUGCAGUUUUGGGUUUAGGUGGUUUUGGUGUUUUUCGUUGAGCCUGGUUUAUUUGAUUGCAUUGAAGAAGCUAGGGAUCACGUGAGAAAGAAAACCACACAAAAAAUGUUCGCAUAAGAUACGGCAAAAAUGUAAAGGUGAUGCUGUUCUGAACUUGAAGACGCUAGGAAUCACGUGAGACAACCACACACGAAAAAUGUUAGCAUAAGAGGCAAGUAAGGUUGUCUGAACCUAAUUACUCUUCUAUUAAUGUAAAACUAUUAUAUGUGUUUUUUAAUUUUUG